rnacentral:rRNA from 1 species
AUUGAACGCUGGCGGCAUGCCUUACACAUGCAAGUCGAACGGUAACAGGCCGCAAGGUGCUGACGAGUGGCGAACGGGUGAGUAAUGCAUCGGAACGUGCCCAGUCGUGGGGGAUAACGCAGCGAAAGCUGCGCUAAUACCGCAUACGAUCUAUGGAUGAAAGCGGGGGACCGAAAGGCCUCGCGCGAUUGGAGCGGCCGAUGUCAGAUUAGGUAGUUGGUGGGGUAAAGGCUCACCAAGCCAACGAUCUGUAGCUGGUCUGAGAGGACGACCAGCCACACUGGGACUGAGACACGGCCCAGACUCCUACGGGAGGCAGCAGUGGGGAAUUUUGGACAAUGGGCGCAAGCCUGAUCCAGCAAUGCCGCGUGCAGGAAGAAGGCCUUCGGGUUGUAAACUGCUUUUGUACGGAACGAAACGGUCCGGGUUAAUACCUUGGGCUAAUGACGGUACCGUAAGAAUAAGCACCGGCUAACUACGUGCCAGCCGCCGCAGUAACAC